GGGUUGUGAGGUUAAGCGACUAAGCGUACACGGUGGAUGCCCUGGCAGUCAGAGGCGAUGAAGGACGUGCUAAUCUGCGAUAAGCGCCGGUAAGGUGAUAUGAACCGUUAUAACCGGCGAUUUCCGAAUGGGGAAACCCAGUGUGACUCGUCACACUAUCAUUAACUGAAUCCAUAGGUUAAUGAGGCGAACCGGGGGAACUGAAACAUCUAAGUACCCCGAGGAAAAGAAAUCAACCGAGAUUCCCCCAGUAGCGGCGAGCGAACGGGGAGGAGCCCAGAGCCUGAAUCAGCAUGUGUGUUAGUGGAAGCGUCUGGAAAGGCGCGCGAUACAGGGUGACAGCCCCGUACACAAAAGCGCAUGUGCUGUGAGCUCGAUGAGUAGGGCGGGACACGUGGUAUCCUGUCUGAAUAUGGGGGGACCAUCCUCCAAGGCUAAAUACUCCUGACUGACCGAUAGUGAACCAGUACCGUGAGGGAAAGGCGAAAAGAACCCCGGCGAGGGGAGUGAAAAAGAACCUGAAACCGUGUACGUACAAGCAGUGGGAGCACAGGUUUACCUGUGUGACUGCGUACCUUUUGUAUAAUGGGUCAGCGACUUAUAUUCUGUAGCAAGGUUAACCGUAUAGGGGAGCCGGAGGGAAACCGAGUCUUAAUUGGGCGUUAAGUUGCAGGGUAUAGACCCGAAACCCGGUGAUCUAGCCAUGGGCAGGUUGAAGGUUGGGUAACACUAACUGGAGGACCGAACCGACUAAUGUUGAAAAAUUAGCGGAUGACCUGUGGCUGGGGGUGAAAGGCCAAUCAAACCGGGAGAUAGCUGGUUCUCCCCGAAAGCUAUUUAGGUAGCGCCUCGUGAAUUCAUCUCCGGGGGUAGAGCACUGUUUCGGCUAGGGGGCCAUCCCGGCUUACCAACCCGAUGCAAACUGCGAAUACCGGAGAAUGUUAUCACGGGAGACACACGGCGGGUGCUAACGUCCGUCGUGAAGAGGGAAACAACCCAGACCGCCAGCUAAGGUCCCAAAGUCAUGGUUAAGUGGGAAACGAUGUGGGAAGGCCCAGACAGCCAGGAUGUUGGCUUAGAAGCAGCCAUCAUUUAAAGAAAGCGUAAUAGCUCACUGGUCGAGUCGGCCUGCGCGGAAGAUGUAACGGGGCUAAACCAUGCACCGAAGCUGCGGCAGCGACGCUGAUGCGUUGUUGGGUAGGGGAGCGUUCUGUAAGCCUGUGAAGGUGGCCUGUGAGGGUUGCUGGAGGUAUCAGAAGUGCGAAUGCUGACAUAAGUAACGAUAAAGCGGGUGAAAAGCCCGCUCGCCGGAAGACCAAGGGUUCCUGUCCAACGUUAAUCGGGGCAGGGUGAGUCGACCCCUAAGGCGAGGCCGAAAGGCGUAGUCGAUGGGAAACGGGUUAAUAUUCCCGUACUUGGUGUUACUGCGAAGGGGGGACGGAGAAGGCUAUGUUGGCCGGGCGACGGUUGUCCCGGUUUAAGCGUGUAGGUGUGUGUUCCAGGUAAAUCCGGUUCACUUUAACACUGAGGCGUGAUGACGAGGCACUACGGUGCUGAAGCAACAAAUGCCCUGCUUCCAGGAAAAGCCUCUAAGCAUCAGGUAACAUCAAAUCGUACCCCAAACCGACACAGGUGGUCAGGUAGAGAAUACCAAGGCGCUUGAGAGAACUCGGGUGAAGGAACUAGGCAAAAUGGUGCCGUAACUUCGGGAGAAGGCACGCUGACACGUAGGUGAAGUGAUUUACUCACGGAGCUGAAGUCAGUCGAAGAUACCAGCUGGCUGCAACUGUUUAUUAAAAACACAGCACUGUGCAAACACGAAAGUGGACGUAUACGGUGUGACGCCUGCCCGGUGCCGGAAGGUUAAUUGAUGGGGUCAGCGCAAGCGAAGCUCCUGAUCGAAGCCCCGGUAAACGGCGGCCGUAACUAUAACGGUCCUAAGGUAGCGAAAUUCCUUGUCGGGUAAGUUCCGACCUGCACGAAUGGCGUAAUGAUGGCCAGGCUGUCUCCACCCGAGACUCAGUGAAAUUGAACUCGCUGUGAAGAUGCAGUGUACCCGCGGCAAGACGGAAAGACCCCGUGAACCUUUACUAUAGCUUGACACUGAACAUUGAGCCUUGAUGUGUAGGAUAGGUGGGAGGCUUUGAAGUGUGGACGCCAGUCUGCAUGGAGCCGACCUUGAAAUACCACCCUUUAAUGUUUGAUGUUCUAACGUGGACCCGUAAUCCGGGUUGCGGACAGUGUCUGGUGGGUAGUUUGACUGGGGCGGUCUCCUCCUAAAGAGUAACGGAGGAGCACGAAGGUUGGCUAAUCCUGGUCGGACAUCAGGAGGUUAGUGCAAUGGCAUAAGCCAGCUUGACUGCGAGCGUGACGGCGCGAGCAGGUGCGAAAGCAGGUCAUAGUGAUCCGGUGGUUCUGAAUGGAAGGGCCAUCGCUCAACGGAUAAAAGGUACUCCGGGGAUAACAGGCUGAUACCGCCCAAGAGUUCAUAUCGACGGCGGUGUUUGGCACCUCGAUGUCGGCUCAUCACAUCCUGGGGCUGAAGUAGGUCCCAAGGGUAUGGCUGUUCGCCAUUUAAAGUGGUACGCGAGCUGGGUUUAGAACGUCGUGAGACAGUUCGGUCCCUAUCUGCCGUGGGCGCUGGAGAACUGAGGGGGGCUGCUCCUAGUACGAGAGGACCGGAGUGGACGCAUCACUGGUGUUCGGGUUGUCAUGCCAAUGGCACUGCCCGGUAGCUAAAUGCGGAAGAGAUAAGUGCUGAAAGCAUCUAAGCACGAAACUUGCCCCGAGAUGAGUUCUCCCUGAGACUUUAAGUCUCCUGAAGGAACGUUGAAGACGACGACGUUGAUAGGCCGGGUGUGUAAGCGCAGCGAUGCGUUGAGCUAACCGGUACUAAUGAACCGUGAGGCUUAACCUUACAACGCCGAAG
rnacentral:rRNA from 1 species